rnacentral:tRNA from 1 species
GGAGCUGUGCCCGAGCGGCUGAAGGGGGCGGAUUGCUAAUCCGCUGUACGGGGUAAACCCGUACCGAGGGUUCGAAUCCCUCCGGCUCCG